GCUAAUGUGAGCUCUGCUAACAAAGAAGGACACCGAGCUGUCUGAGCAGCUACAGCUGGAUUUUUUCUGCUCCAGCUUCACAAAAACUUGACACAGACUGAACUGAAUGCAGCAAUAGGCAGUUACUGAGAAGCAUCAGCUGAGUCCUGCUUGCGAUUAAGUCAGACGGGUGUAUGGGCGGGACGUUGACCUGCCAGUCCGCAUGCCCCCCACAGAUUGCCACUCUACAGAUUGCAUUCAAACUUGUCGGACUCCUGCUGAUAUCUGAGCACCUUCAAAGCUCUACUGUCACUCCAGACCUCCCUCCAGUGUUGUCAAACUACAGAGCUAACUCUCAACACUUUGAAGGACAACAGAGCGAGUCAGCUCUGAUACCAGCUUCAAGAACGCAACUU